rnacentral:rRNA from 1 species
GACGAACGCUGGCGGCGUGCUUAACACAUGCAAGUCGAACGUUAAGGCCCCUUCGGGGGUACACGAGUGGCGAACGGGUGAGUAACACGUGAGCAACCUGCCCUUGACUCUGGAAUAACAGUUGGAAACAGCUGCUAAUACUGGAUAUUCAUCGUCUCCUUCCUGGGGGGUGGUGGAAAGCUCCGGCGGUCAGGGAUGGGCUCGCGGCCUAUCAGCUUGUUGGUGAGGUAAUGGCUCACCAAGGCUUCGACGGGUAGCCGGCCUGAGAGGGCGACCGGCCACACUGGGACUGAGAUACGGCCCAGACUCCUACGGGAGGCAGCAGUGGGGAAUAUUGCACAAUGGGCGCAAGCCUGAUGCAGCAACGCCGCGUGCGGGAUGACGGCCUUCGGGUUGUAAACCGCUUUCAGUAGGGACGAAGGGUGACUGACGGUACCUACAGAAGAAGGACCGGCUAACUACGUG